rnacentral:rRNA from 1 species
GUGAGGAAUAUUGCGCAAUGGAGGCAACUCUGACGCAGCCAUGCCGCGUGAAUGAUGAAGGUCUUAGGAUUGUAAAAUUCUUUCACCGGGGACGAUAAUGACGGUACCCGGAGAAGAAGCCCCGGCUAACUUCGUGCCAGCAGCCGCGGUAAUACGAAGGGGGCUAGCGUUGCUCGGAAUUACUGGGCGUAAAGGGCGCGUAGGCGGACAGCUUAGUCAGAGGUGAAAGCCCAGGGCUCAACCUUGGAAUUGCCUUUGAUACUGGCUGUCUUGAGUUUGGGAGAGGUGAGUGGAACUCCGAGUGUAGAGGUGAAAUUCGUAGAUAUUCGGAAGAACACCAGUGGCGAAGGCGACUCACUGGCCCAAUACUGACGCUGAGGCGCGAAAGCGUGGGGAGCAAACAGGAUUAGAUACCCUGGUAGUCC